rnacentral:lncRNA from 1 species
CACCUUCCUCUUAACCAGGCUUUCAGCAGAAGACUUAAUAACCCAGAAGGCCAAGUAUAAGUUAAGCCUCUGCCUACGAGGAGGAUUUUAAACUUCUGCCCAGCCUCUCAGCAAGAUACAGCAGUUACUACAUUGCAGCAUGGAUGCCGGUGACACCAAGAUGGACGGAAGAGGCAAGCAAGGUAGUUGAACUUAGCUAUCUUCCUUCCACAUGGCCUCAUGGUACUUCUGCCUAUUUGAGGGGAACAGCUGUGACAAGACAGAGCAAUGACUGGCACAUCAUGUUUCACCACCUCUAGCUGACGAUCAGCUUGAGAAUGUGCCAGGUGUUCCCAGCAACUCUGGGCUGCUCACUUCCUUCAUUCACUGUCGUGGCCCAGCCCAGCAAGAAACAGGAUGUAUGGGUUAAACCCAAACUUCAGUACAGCUUUUAUAAUACUCACCUUUUGGGAAAGAGGAGAGGAUUGUUAAAGGUCAGUCAAAAGUACAGUGUUUGUGGGAUGCGUCAUGUGAAUCUGAAAGCUGGUGGCAAAUAUCCUGCCCAUGGGACUCGCACUCGCUGAGACGUGUUUAUGCAGAUGAAAGUUGUUUGCCCAGAUGGCACUCAAAUAGCUUUGCUCUCCAUUUCCUUGUGAUAGUAAAAAUGCUGCACAUAGAUCGUAUUCAGGAAGUUGGCCCUCUUUAUUUCUGAAAAGCCUAAAUAUUUACAGUUUUCUUUCUGGGUGAAAGAAAGACGGGUGAAAAUGCAUGAAAGUCCGUCUAUCAAGAGGAAUUAAAG